rnacentral:rRNA from 1 species
UACGAAGGGGGCUAGCGUUGUUCGGAAUUACUGGGCGUAAAGCGUGCGCAGGCGGUUUUGUAAGCCGGAUGUGAAAUCCCCGGGCUUAACCUGGGAAUGGCAUUCGGGACUGCAAGGCUGGAGUGCGGCAGAGGAGACUGGAAUUCCUGGUGUAGCAGUGAAAUGCGUAGAUAUCAGGAGGAGCACCGAUGGCGAAGGCAGGUCUCUGGGCUGACACUGACGCUCAUGCACGAAAGCGUGGGGAGCAAACAGG